ACGGGAGGCAGCAGUGGGGAAUAUUGCACAAUGGGGGAAACCCUGAUGCAGCGACGCCGCGUGAGUGAAGAAGUUAUUCGUAAUGUAAAGCUCUAUCAGCAGGGAAGAAAAUGACGGUACCUGACUAAGAAGCCCCGGCUAACUACGUGCCAGCAGCCGCGGUAAUACGUAGGUGGCAAGCGUUAUCCGGAUUUACUGGGUGUAAAGGGCGCGUAGGCGGAGCGGCAAGUCAGAUGUGAAAUCUAUGGGCUUAACCCAUAAACUGCAUUUGAAACUGUCGCCCUUGAGUGUCGGAGAGGUAGACGGAAUUCCUAGUGUAGCGGUGAAAUGCGUAGAUAUUAGGAGGAACGCCAGUGGCGAAGGCGGUCUACUGGACGAUAACUGACGCUGAGGCGCGAAAGCGUGGGGAGCAAACAGGAUUAGAUACCCUGGUA
rnacentral:rRNA from 1 species